AUGAAGCUUUGGCUCCAUGUAGUGUUCCUUGCAGUGGCUUUGGAAGGUGUCCGGUCCCAGGUGCAGCUGGUGGAGUCCGGAGGGGAUGUGAAAAAGCCCGGAGACUCUCUCCGCCUCUCCUGCAAAGCCUCUGGGUUCACCUUCAGCGACUACAGUAUGAACUGGAUCCGACAGGCUCCCGGGAAGGGGCUGGAGUGGGUGUCACUCAUUUAUUAUGAUGGGAGCCAACAAUUUUAUGCAGACUCAGUGAAAGGCCGAUUCACCAUCUCCAGAGACAACUCCAACAACCUGCUGUAUCUGCAAAUGACCAGCCUGAAGCCCGAGGACACUGCCCGGUAUCACUGUGCGAGAAACACAGUGAGGGGAAACCGGUCUGAGCUCAGACAAAAACCUGCCCUCGCUGUCUAA